rnacentral:pre_miRNA from 1 species
GAAGAGUGUAGUUUUACGUUGUUUACGUUCAACGUUUGAUUAUCCAUCUUACAUAAAAAAUAGUUUCUAUUUUUAUUGUUAUUAGAUGAUAAAAUAUAAAAAGUGCUUUAUGUGUAAUUAUUUUUCUUUAUUUUUUUCAUAUUUUUUAAAUAAGACUGAUCGUCGAACGUUUCAUACGAAAAUUCACAACUGCACUUAAU